rnacentral:rRNA from 1 species
AGUGAACGCUGGCGGUAGGCCUAACACAUGCAAGUCGAACGGCAGCACAGUAAGAGCUUGCUCUUACGGGUGGCGAGUGGCGGACGGGUGAGGAAUACAUCGGAAUCUACUUUUUCGUGGGGGAUAACGUAGGGAAACUUACGCUAAUACCGCAUACGACCUACGGGUGAAAGCAGGGGAUCUUCGGACCUUGCGCGAUUGAAUGAGCCGAUGUCGGAUUAGCUAGUUGGCGGGGUAAAGGCCCACCAAGGCGACGAUCCGUAGCUGGUCUGAGAGGAUGAUCAGCCACACUGGAACUGAGACACGGUCCAGACUCCUACGGGAGGCAGCAGUGGGGAAUAUUGGACAAUGGGCGCAAGCCUGAUCCAGCCAUACCGCGUGAGUGAAGAAGGCCUUCGGGUUGUAAAGCCCUUUUGUUGGGAAAGAAAGGCAGCAGGUUAAUACCCCGCUGUUCUGACGGUACCCAAAGAGUAAGCACCGGCUAACUUCGUG